UGUAGCCAGAGCUUGGGCCUGC
rnacentral:miRNA from 1 species